UAUGAAGUAAACGAAAGUGAACUAGUACCGUGAGGGAACGCUGAAAUAGAAUACUGGAAAGUUAGUGAAAUAGAUUAUGAAAGCAUAAGCUUACAAGCAAUAGGAGAUAUUUUAGUAUUGACUGUGUGCCUGUUGAAGAAUGAGCCGGCGACUUAUAAGUAAUGGCUUAGGUUAAGGUUAUUUUAUUCUGGAGCCAAAGUUAAAUCGAGUUUUAAUAGAGCUUUAUGUCAUUAUUUAUAGACCCGAACCCGGGUGAUCUAAUCAUGACCAGGAUGAAACUUUAAUAAUAUAUUGUGAAGGUCCGAACUCACCAAUGUUGAAAAAUUGGGAGAUGAGUUGUGAUUAGGGGAGAAAUUCCAGUCGAACUCGGAGCUAGCUGGAUCUCUUCGAAAUGCGUUGAGGCGCAGCGGAUAAAAAUUUAAUGUCAGGGGUAAAGCACUGUUUCGAUGAGGGCUGCGAAAGUAGUGCCAAGUUGUAGCAAACUUUGAAUACUGAUGUUUUUAUUAUCUAGUGAGACUGUGGGGGAUAAGCUUCAUAGUCAAAAGGGAAACAGCCCAGACUACCAUUUAAGGCCCCUAAAUAUUUGCUAAGUGACAAAGGAGGUGAAAAUACAUAGACAACCAGGAGGUUGACUUAGAGGCAGUAAUCCUUUAAAAAGUGCGUAAUAGCUUACUGGUUAAGUGUUUUCGCACCGAAAAUGAACGGGGCUAAGCAAAUUGCCGAAGAUGUAGGAUAUUUUGUAUCGGUAGAAGAGCGUGCUGUUUUUGAUUGAAGCUUUGAUGUAAAUCUUGGUGGACUAAACAGCAGUGAGAAUGUCGGCUUAAGUAACGAAAACAAUGGUUAAAAUCCAUUGCUCCGUAAACCUAAGGUUUCCUUUGGAAGGUUCGUCCGCAAAGGGUUAGUCAGGUCCUAAAAUAAAAUUGAAAAAUUUAGUUGAUGGGUAACAGGUUAAUAUUCCUGUGCUAUAUAUUAUUUGCUAAGAGUGACGGAGAAGAUUAUUGUCCAGAUCAAAUUUGGUUGUUUUGGUUCAAUCUUCGCGCUUUUGUUAGGGUAUUAUAAAAAAUAUUCUGCUUUGCGGGGAUUGUAAAAGACAUUACGGUGUUAUAAAUGGUCAAUUUCAUGCUUCCUAGAAAAACUUUGGUAGUUUAUAAUAGUAUAUACCUGUACCGUAAACUGACACAGGUGGGUUGGUAGAAAAUACUAAGGAGCGCGAGAUAACCUUUUCUAAGGAACUCGGCAAAAUGGCUCUGUAACUUCGGGAGAAGGAGUACCUACUUAUUGUAGGUCGCAGAAAAAAGGUCCAUACGACUGUUUAUCAAAAACACAGGUCUCUGCUAAGUUGAAAAACGAUGUAUAGGGGCUGACGCCUGCCCAGUGCCGGAAGGUUAAAGAAAUUGGUUAGCUUUCGCGAAGCUGAUGACUGAAGCCCCCGUGAACGGCAGCAAUAAAAAUAAUUGUUCUAAGGUAGCGAAAUUCCUUGUCAGGUAAGUUCUGACCCGCACGAAAGGCGUAACGAUAUGGAUACUGUCUCAGAAAGGGACUCGGUGAAAUAGAAUUGACUGUGAAGAUGCGGUCUACCUGCACUUGGACAGAAAGACCCUAUGAAGCUUUACUAUAGCCUGAUAUUGGUUUUGAAUUUCUUUUGCGCAGUAUAGGUGGGAGGCGUUGAACCGCUUUUUCGGAAGUUGGAGAGCCUAAAUGUGAGAUACCACUCUUAAAAAAUUUGGAAUCUAAUGAUAUUUUAGAUAUGAUAUUUGACAGUUUCAGGUGGAUAGUUUUACUGGGGCGGUAGCCUCCUAAAAGGUAACGGAGGCGUACAAAGGUUUUUUCAAUUUGGGUGGAAAUCAAAUGUAGAGUGUAAAAA
rnacentral:rRNA from 1 species